UCUGCGUUAAGGAUUGCAAUGGAAAUCCUUUUUUAUUUUUUUAAAUAAAAAAGAUUGUAGUGUAAAGCCUGCCCUAAA
rnacentral:sRNA from 1 species